rnacentral:misc_RNA from 1 species
GGGGGUGUUUACCAGGUCAGGUCCGAAAGGAAGCAGCCAAGGCACUUCC